AGUAAAGUCAGCUAACCAAGCUCUUGGGCCCAUACCCCAAAAAUGUCGGUUUAACCCCCUCCUCUACUA
rnacentral:tRNA from 1 species